GGCCGUGUCCCCGUCCCAAAAAUGCCUCCUCGGCAGGAGCUGGCUGUACUUGUCAAGAGACCGGAAGCAGGAUUAUGCUGUGCUGGGAUGUGGAGAUCAUAAAAACGGGAUAACUGCACAGUUCCACCAGCACUCAGUCUCUGCCAGGAGCUGGAGUCAAUUUCCCACUCUUAACCCUUGCAGGCAGUGCUGUUUUCUCCUGAAACCCUACAUGAUCACCACAGCACCCUCAGUGGGGACCACCAUGGUGCUGUGGGGAAGAGGGAAGUGUCAGGCAGCUGAGAUGGCUCUGCUGCUUCUCCUACCACAGUCUUUCAGGGUGGUCAGAACCUGAAUUCCUCAUGCAAAAGAAGCAGCAGGGGAAGAGGAAACUGCAAGCAAGGACCUUUCCUACCUCAGGGAGCUGUCACAAGGACUUAGCAGGCCUCCAAGCAUGGUUUCUUGCUCUGCAGUCUCUCAGCCCAAGCCUCCUGGGUAACUACCCCUCACUCCCCUCUCACCAGUGAACACCCUCCCAGCCUGUGCUUCCCACUUAUGCUCUAGCAGCUCCAUCUGGCUCCUUGGCCCCUCUGAUUUACAGAUUUGUUGUUGCACUUCAGCUUUGGAGUGAUCAGGAGAGGCGGAGCUCGUCCAGCAUCACAGAGCUGUGGGGAUGGCACCGGG